rnacentral:rRNA from 1 species
GACAGAGGUGCCAAGCGUUAGGCGGAAUCACUGGGCUUAAAGCGUGUGUAGGUGGAUGCCUAAGUGCCUUGUGAAAUCCCACGGCUCAACCGUGGAAUUGCUGGGCAUACUGGGUGUCUUGAGCCAUCCAGGGGUCGCUGGAACAAACGGUGGAGCGGUGAAAUGCGUAGAUAUCGUUUGGAACGCCAAUGGUGAAAACAGGCGACUGGGGAUGAGCUGACACUGAGACACGAAAGCCAGGGGAGCAAACGGG